CGUAGGGUGCAAGCGUUAAUCGGAAUUACUGGGCGUAAAGCGUGCGCAGGCGGUUAUAUAAGACAGAUGUGAAAUCCCCGGGCUCAACCUGGGAACUGCAUUUGUGACUGUAUAGCUAGAGUACGGUAGAGGGGAUGGAAUUCCGCGUGUAGCAGUGAAAUGCGUAGAUAUGCGGAGGAACACCGAUGGCGAAGGCAAUCCCCUGGACCUGUACUGACGCUCAUGCACGAAAGCGUGGGGAGCAAACAGGAUUAGAUACCCUGGUAGUCCACGCCCUAAACGAUGUCAACUGGUUGUUGGGUCUUCACUGACUCAGUAACGAAGCUAACGCGUGAAGUUGACCGCCUGGGGAGUACGGCCGCAAGGUUG
rnacentral:rRNA from 1 species